GACAAACAGAUCAAAUUAAAAUUAAUGAUAGUAAAGAAGGAGGUUAUAGAUUUAUUUCGAGAAAUAAUGCUCUUUAGAGAGGUGAAAUUUAGAUAAAGAGAGAUAAAUUAGGUUUUUCUUUUUUUGACGCCUCGAAAUUUUGUUAUGAGACCGGGAUUAGAUACCCCGUUAUUCAAAAUGUAAACUUUGAUUGUAUUUAUGAUUUACUUGAGUAUUACGAGUAUAAAAGAUUUGUCUUAUAUAUUUCUUAAAACUCAAAAAACUUGGCGGUGCCUAUAUCCUUCCAGGGGAACCUGUCCUAUAAUCGAUAGUCCUCGAUUUAACUUUCUUUCUUUUGAAUUUUAUCAGCUUGUAUACCGUCGUCGUCAGGUUACCUUUAAGAGUUAUGAAGUUAUCAGUGAGAACUAGAAGAAAUUUAAAUUUAUGUAUUAUAUAAAUUAUAGAUUAAUUUAUGUGAGUUCUAGACGUCAGAUCAAGGUGCAGCUUAUAGGAAAGCAGAGAUGGGUUACAGUAAUGAAUUAUUAUACGAAUUUUUGUUGUAAAUAGCGAAAUUGAAGGAGGACUUGGAAGUAAUUGGUUUAAAGAUAAGAGAGCUUAGAUGAAAAUAGGCUCUGAGGUGCGC
rnacentral:rRNA from 1 species